rnacentral:tRNA from 1 species
GCCCGUGUAGCUCAACUGGAAGAGCGCCGGUCCUACAAACCGGAUGCCGGGGGUUCAACUCCCUCCGCGGGCA